CAAAAAAUUAUCAGAGACAAAAUGAGAUUCAGUAAUUUGAGUAAUAACAUGAUAAGCGAACUGUGAACAACAAUUACAAUUCAAAUACUGCAGCUAGACUUUGCAGUAGUUAAGCAAGUUGAUGGAUGUGUAAAGUCACUGGUAAGCAAUUGCAACGUACUUGUCCGGAAAAAUUUUUUCCCUAAAAAGUUGUCGAUGUGGGGGGGGGAGGUUGUUGCUUUCCGAAAAAAUUUUUUGGCAGAGCACCCCCCCUACUAGACCAUGCUGGAUCCAUCCCUGACUGUUGCUGAGACUGGCAAAUGAUGUUGACGAAAUAUUUAUGCACAUCUUUACAUUAAUUAAUAAUCAGGCUUAAUAAGCUUCCUAUAUAGCAACCCAGUGUGGAUUUUUGUCUGCAUAUAUUAACUUACUAGCAGUAAUAGCAUGUCAACUGAUCGACUUUUCUUUGACGGUCUGUUUAUAUGUCUGAGAUAUGUCCAUUGUUAGCAUAAUAUGAAAUAAUUCCAACGGCCUACUCAUAUGUUCACUUGACUGUGUUGCUACAUUUCAGGGUAUACUAUAUUUUUUGAUAAUGCUCACAAUUUCUUUCUUAUUAUAUAGUUUUGCAGUUCUGACUGAGUACAAUCCUAAUCAUUACAAUAAAUCGUGUCAUCGGAAGCUGAUGUAUUAAUUGAUUGUUCAGAAACAGAUUGUUCAG